rnacentral:rRNA from 1 species
GAGUUUGAUCCUGGCUCAGGAUGAACGCACAAGACGUGCCUAACACAUGCAAAUCGAAUGAAAAUAAUUAAUUAUUGUUUUCAUGGUGAACGGGUGAGUAACACAUAAGAAUCAGCUUUUAGAUAAGGCAUAAAAGAGUAAUAUCUUGGUAAUUCCUUAUAUGCGCAGCAGUGCUUAAAAAGGGGAGUCCCGUCUAAAAACGAGCUUAUGCCUGAUUAGCUAGUUGGCGAGUUAAAAGCUCACCAAGGCGAAGAUCAGUAGCUGGCCUGAGAGGGCGGCCAGCCACAUUGGGACUGAGACACGGCCCAAACUCCUACGGGAGGCAGCAGUGGGGAAUCUUCUGCAAUGGGCGCAAGCCUGACAGAGCGGCGUCGUGUGAAGGAAGAAGGCCUGAAAUAGGUUGUAAACUUCUUUUACUGAGUAAUGAAUAAUGACAACGCAGUAAAAAAGUAUCGGCUAACUCCGUGCCAGCAGCCGCGGUAAUACGGGGGAUGCAAGCGUUAUCCGGAAUCACUGGGCGUAAAGCGUCUGUAGGUGGUUUAGUGUGUUCUUAGUUAAAUUAUGAAGCUUAACUCCAUGAAAAGUAAGAAAACUAUUAGACUUGAGUACGAUAGGGGUAAGAGGAAUUCUUCGAGAAGUAGUGAAAUGCGAAGAUACGAAGGAGAAGAUCAUAAGCGAAGGCUUCUUACUGGGUCGUAACUGACACUGAGAGACGAAAGCUAGGGGAGCGAAUGGGAUUAGAUACCCCAGUAGUCCUAGCUGUAAACGAUGGAUAUUCGGUGCCGGAAAUUUUAUUAGAACAUUUCGGUACCCUAGCUAACGCGUUUAAAUAUCCCGCCUGAGGAGUACGCUCGCAAGGGUGAAACUCAAAGGAAUUGACGGGGGCUCGCACAAGCGGUGG